rnacentral:rRNA from 1 species
CACGUAGGGCGCAAGCGUUGUCCGGAAUUAUUGGGCGUAAAGAGCUCGUAGGCGGUCCGUCACGUCCGCUGUGAAAACCCAGGGCUCAACCCUGGGCUUGCAGUGGAUACGGGCAGACUAGAGGUAGGUAGGGGAGAAUGGAAUUCCCGGUGUAGCGGUGAAAUGCGCAGAUAUCGGGAGGAACACCGGUGGCGAAGGCGGUUCUCUGGGCCGAUACUGACGCUGAGGAGCGAAAGCGUGGGGAGCGAACAGG